GACGAACGCUGGCGGCGUGCUUAACACAUGCAAGUCGAACGGAAAGGCCCUGCUUUUGUGGGGUGCUCGAGUGGCGAACGGGUGAGUAACACGUGAGUAACCUGCCCUUGACUGUGGGAUAACUUCAGGAAACUGGGGCUACUACCGGAUAGGAGCUCCUGCUGCAUGGUGGGGGUUGGACAGUUUCGGCGGUUGGGGAUGGACUCGCGGCUUAUCAGCUUGUUGGUGAGGUAGUGGCUUACCAAGGCUUUGACGGGUAGCCGGCCUGAGAGGGUGGCCGGCCACAUGGGGACUAAGAUACGGCGCAGACUCCAACGGGAGGCAGCAGGGGGGAAUAUUGCACAAUGGGCGGAAGCCUGAUGCAGCAACGCCGCGUGCGGGAUGACGGCCUUCGGGUUGUAAACCGCUUUCGCCUGUGACGAAGCGUGAGUGACGGUAAUGGGUAAAGAAGCACCGGCUAACUACGUG
rnacentral:rRNA from 1 species